CCAGCAGCCGCGGUAAUUCCAGCUCCAAUAGCGUAUAUUUAAGUUGCUGCAGUUAAAAAGCUCGUAGUUGGAUUUCGGAUGGGAUUUGCCGGUCCGCCGUUUCGGUGUGCACUGGCCAGUCCCAUCUUGUUGUCGGGGACUAGCUCCUGGGCUUCACUGUCCGGGACUAGGAGCUGACGAGGUUACUUUGAGUAAAUUAGAGUGUUCAAAGCAAGCCUACGCUCUGAAUACAUUAGCAUGGAAUAACAUGAUAGGACUCUGGCUUAUCUUGUUGGUCUGUGAGACCAGAGUAAUGAUUAAGAGGGACAGUCGGGGGCAUUCGUAUUUCAUUGUCAGAGGUGAAAUUCUUGGAUUUAUGAAAGA
rnacentral:rRNA from 1 species